AGGCGGCUGACUUGGCGAGCGAAGGAGCCGGGCGCUCUCUUGACACCGCGCAAAUGCUAAACCCGUUUACUCGGAAAAGAGGGAGACAAAACAUUUAUCCUGAAAUCAAAGGAAGUCAAUAAAGCGAAACACCUCCUAAUUGAUUCCCACUGGCCCGCGUUGUCCUCGUCAGCAGGCCGGGGGAAAGCGAAAAGGACAAGGAGGCCGCAAACAAGUCCGCCGCUGCCUGCGCAG